rnacentral:rRNA from 1 species
UACGUAGGGUGCGAGCGUUGUCCGGAAUUAUUGGGCGUAAAGGGCUCGUAGGCGGUCUGUUGCGUCAGGAGUGAAAACUCGGGGCUUAACCCCGAGCCUGCUUCUGAUACGGGCAGACUAGAGGUAUGCAGGGGGAGAACGGAAUUCCUGGUGUAGCGGUGAAAUGCGCAGAUAUCGUAAGGAAGACCAGUGGCGAAGGCGGGUCUCUGGACAGUUCCUGACGCUGAGGCACGAAAGCUAGGGGGAGCAAACAGG